AGUUGACGCACUUAUUGCAGGAUACUUUGGAAUAUGCUUCUGGCUUCGAGACUUUGUAUCUCAUUAGCUUGUUUGCCCUCCAUGUGCAUUACACCACAAGGAAGAAAAGCGGACCUGACGUCAUGUGCAACCCAUCAAUACUACGACAGCUCUGUCUGCAGGAAUUGCCACAUGAUGUCUACAUUGCAGCCGUUCAACCAGUUAUGAUUGAUGGAGAUGGUGUCCUCCUGAAAGACAGGAGAUAAAUAGUCUGAAGGAUAACACCAGAUAUGAAGUCGGAGUCCAGGGAGGAGAAAACAGAGGAAGAUUCUCGAAAGGCCACGCCCUGGAGGACGCCACCCCAUUGCAUAUUCAUACAUUGUGUUAUAUAUUGUAAGAGCGCGAAGGGAAAGGGCGCGUCCAGACAGCCCUGUGUAAGCCGCCGUAUUGAAUGCUACUAGGGACAGAUAGCGCUCAGACAAAUUGUAUUACAAUUGUAUCUAAUAGGGAAUAAAUCCAUCCAUCCAUUUUCUACCGCUUGUCCCUUUCGGGGUUGCAGGUGGUGCUGGAGUACUUCUGAUUUUAAGUUUACGCAUCAUGUCCUCUUUAAACAUCUUCUGGCUCCAGAAUAAACAAAUACGUCAACACCAUUCUUCAAAAUAAAAGCAGGGUAGUAUUAAUCUGGUUUAAUACUGCAAUGCUUCUCUUUUGAAGCUUACUUGGCCCUGAACAGGAAGUCCUCCUGUACAUUGUUACCAUGUUUAUUGUACCUUGGCACACCAGCGCCCCCCACGACCCCAAAGGGAAUAAGCAGUAGAAAAUGGAUGGAUGGAUGGCAUGGGGCUGGGCGAUAUAUCAAUAUACUCUAUAUAUCGCGGGUUUGUCUCUGCGCGAUAUAGGAAAUGACUAUAUCAUGAUAUUCAAGUAUACAUUCUCCCGCAGUUGUUUUUAGCUGUGGGCAUUACACUACAGGCUUUUCUCACUCUUUCUUGUCUCUCCUUCUUACAGAGACUUAAAACAAGCACACCUUCUUACAUACGUCAUAUACUGUCACGUAUGCAAAGUCAAACGCUCCUGCAGCGCAGAGAGGUGACCUGGGUAACAUUAACUGUGAUGCUAACGGUGAGGUGCGGGUGGCAAUACAAGAGAGAGAAGGUGCGUAUCUGGUAACAAAUGGAGAAAUAAUUAAUUCCCAAGAAGAACGGCACGGAGUCCAUCGUCUGGCGGUGCUUUGGGUUCAAGCGGGAAUAUGUUCAACCUUUAUGCGGCAAAAGUGUUGCAACAAAAGGUAGCAGCACUGCUAAAAUGUAGCAUCAGUUUAAAAGUCACCCGCUAGAGAAUGAAGAGUGCUUCAAAAUGUGCAAGUCAACAUCUCCGGCCGGUGCCACACCAACAAAAUGCUGAAGCAACUAUUUCCAAAUCAACACCGAAUGAAAAAAAAAGUCAAUAACAGAAGGACAUAACGUCGGCAGGAACCUAUUAUGCAGCUAUUUUUUAUUUCACAGUUAUUAAAAUAUCUUGUGUGACAUCAUUCACAAAAGUGCACUUCAAUAGUUUGUAAUUAUUGUAGUGGUGUUCUGUGCAAAAAGUACACUUUAUUUAGCGUUGUUUUGAUAUGUCAUCUUGGUGACAUCGUUCACAAAAGUGCACUAAUAGCUUGUUUUAUAAUGUCUCUGACAAUCUUGCACUUUCUGUUUUGGAAAUGACAUGAAUAUUUGUGCCACUGCUUAAUAACUGUUUAAUAAAUACAGUACUGGUAAAUUGACUUAGUUGUGAUUUCCCUCUCUGCAUGAAAGUUUAAAAUGAGCAUAUAUUAAUGAAGUAUGAACAAGAAUGUUUUAAUAUACCGUAUUUCCUUGAAUUGCCGCAGAUCAUGUAGUAUGCGCCUGCCUUGAAUUACUGCCGGGUCAAACUCGCUUCCCAAAAUAAUUAGCGCAUGCUUAGUAUUACCGCAUGGUCAAACUCGUGACGUCACGAGUGACACUUCCCCUGUCAUCAUUUUCAAAAUGGAGGAGGCUAAUUUCAAUACCGGUAAUUUGAAAUCGCAUAAAGGGAAGAAGAUUGAGAGCUAUUCAGUAGGACUUAAGGUCCAAGCUUACGUCACACUCAAAGUUUUACUGCAUACCUUUGGUAUGUGCCGGAGUGAGAAGAGGUUUUAAAAUAAUUAGCGCAUGCUUACUUUUACCGCAUGCCUUUGGUAAGCGCAGGAGUGAGAAGAGGUUUUAAAUUAAUUAGCGCCCCGGCGGCAAUUCAUGGAAAUACGGUAGACACAUAUAAUCAUCAUACUGCUGUUAUUAUAUGCAUCAAGUGUUCAUUCAAGACCAAGGCAAAAU